UUCUGAAUGGGAAUGGUUGUGCGCUCUAUGUGCUAUGAAAUCAUAAGCGUAUAGCUUUUCCCAUUUAGCG
rnacentral:pre_miRNA from 1 species